AAUUCGUUCAACGCUCCUUCCAUUCUCUAUAUAGUAAUCACAUACAUCAGAUUAAACUCAAGACCGGAUUUAAGGUAAAUUUUCGACAAGAGAAAGCUCCACAAAUCCUGCAAACAAAUUAUUCCUGCGGCGACAAUGCAAAUAUGUGGCAUCCAUAAAAACUUAAAUCUCAACGUAGUUACGGCCAUAAAGGUAAAGAAGAAUGUUUGUACAAGAUGAUAAACGACUUCAGGACGUCUUUUCAACGAAUACCAGCAUUAAAGGCAGUCGAUAUGAACAAGGUGAUAACUAGUGAUAUACUGACAUCGAUAUCUGCGUACCGUCUCCAAAACAGAAUAACGCCAUUGGUAUUUUUCGUUCUCAUUGCUCAUAAUACCGACAUUUAAACAUUGCAUCGAAAUAGAAAUACAAUUGAAAUUAAUCAUAGUUUAACAAUACUAAAUAUAUAUUAC